rnacentral:rRNA from 1 species
UCGGGAAUAUUGCGCAAUGGAGGAAACUCUGACGCAGUGACGCCACGUAUAGGAAGAAGGUUUUCGGAUUGUAAACUAUUUUAGUCAGGGAAGAAAAUGACAGUACCUGAAGAAUAAGCUCCGGCUAACUACGUGCUAGCAGCCGCGGUAAUACGUAGGGAGCAAGCGUUAUCCGGAUUUAUUGGGCGUAAAGAGUGCGUAGGUGGUUACCUAAGCAGGGGGUGAAAGGCAUUGGCUUAACCAAUGUUAGCCCCCUGAACUGGGCUACCUGAGUGCAGGAGAGGAAAGCGGAAUUCCUAGUGUAGCGGUGAAAUACGUAGAUAUUAGGAGGAACACCAGUGGCGAAGGCGGCUUUCUGGACUGUUACUGACACUGAGGCACGAAAGUGUGGGGAGCAAACAGGAUUAGAUACCCUGGUAGU